GACGAACGCUGGCGGCAUGCUUCAUACAUGCAAGUCGAACGAUAAGGUCUCUUCGGAGAUACAUAAGUGGCGGACGGGUGAGUAAUAUGUAGGAAAUCUGCCCUUGAGAGGGGGACAACAGAGGGAAACUUCUGCUAAUACCCCAUAUGAGCGUACCUGAAAUGGUAUUCUUGAAAACUCCGGUGCUCAAGGAUGAGCCUGCAUCUGAUUAGCUAGUUGGCGGUGUAAUGGACCACCAAGGCGACGAUCAGUAGCUGGUUUGAGAGGAUGAUCAGCCACAAUGGGACUGAGACACGGCCCAUACUCCUACGGGAGGCAGCAGUAGGGAAUAUUGCGCAAUGGGGGAAACCCUGACGCAGCAAUGCCGCGUGAAGGAUGAAGGUUUUCGGAUUGUAAACUUCUUUUACUGAGGACGAAACAAAUGACGGUACUCAGAGAAUAAGCCACGGCUAACUACGUGCCAGCAGCCG
rnacentral:rRNA from 1 species